UUCGUAGGCGGCGCAGAAAGUAGGGUGUGAAAGCCCUCGGCUCAACCGAGGAAUUGCGCUCUAAACUACUGUGCUCGAGGGACCUAGAGGUGAGCGGAACUGAUGGUGGAGCAGUGAAAUGCGUUGAUAUCAUCAGGAACACCGGAGGCGAAGGCGGCUUGCUGGAUCAUUUCUGACGCGUGGGGGACGAAAGCGUAGGGGAGCAAACA
rnacentral:rRNA from 1 species